rnacentral:piRNA from 1 species
UGGGUAACUUCAUUCUUUACAGGGAU